rnacentral:rRNA from 1 species
GGGGAAUAUUGGACAAUGGGCGCAAGCCUGAUCCAGCCAUGCCGCGUGAGUGAUGAAGGCCUUAGGGUUGUAAAGCUCUUUCGCGCGCGACGAUAAUGACGGUAGCGCGAGAAGAAGCCCCGGCUAACUUCGUGCCAGCAGCCGCGGUAAUACGAAGGGGGCUAGCGUUGUUCGGAAUCACUGGGCGUAAAGCGCAUGCAGGCGGAUCGUUAAGUCGGGGGUGAAAUCCCGAGGCUCAACCUCGGAACUGCCUUCGAUACUGGCGAUCUUGAGUCCGGGAGAGGUGAGUGGAACUGCGAGUGUAGAGGUGAAAUUCGUAGAUAUUCGCAAGAACACCAGUGGCGAAGGCGGCUCACUGGCCCGGUACUGACGCUCAGGUGCGAAAGCGUGGGGAGCAAACA